UCAUAUCCUUCCACCCAGACUUCCCAGUAAAAGACUCACAGACCCUUUCAGAGCUAGCCUGCUGUUCCAUGAUGUCGCCUUUGUGGUCCAUCCUCCUCAUGCUGGCAGCCUCCUCCUCGUGCGCCCGCUCGCAAGCGGUUCUGACUCAGGAAGGUCCAGUUGUCAAAAAACCCGGAGAAUCCCAUAAACUCACCUGUGCCACCAGUGGGCUUGCUCUGAGUAGCACAUGGAUGAACUGGAUCAGGCAGAAACCUGGCAAAGGAUUGGAGUGGCUCGUGCACUAUUACAGCGCUGGGAACAAUUAUUAUUCCCCUGCCAUCCGAGGGCGAUUCACGGCCUCCAAGGGGGCCUCUGACUUCUAUCUCCAAAUGAAUGACCUGAAUGCAGAAGACACGGCCGUGUAUUACUGUGCAGCAGGCACAGUGAGAAGCAUCUUACCAGAUCCCAGACAAAAACUGUGUAGUGUAGCAGUUCUGAAGGAAGUCCUCUGAGUGGCACCAAUGAGUCAU